AAGGGAGACCUAAUUCAGGUAGGAGACGAAAAAAAAGUAGUCGCUACCAAGAAUCAAUCCCAAAAGGUCGGAGCGAGGCGAAAUUGGCUUUCAAACUAGGUUCUGGGUUCAAACAAGACCUGAAUCAGGAACGAGGGCUAUUAGCUCAGGUGGUUAGAGCGCACCCCUGAUAAGGGUGAGGUCCCUGGUUCGAGUCCAGGAUGGCCCACCUGUACAGGUGGCAAAAAGAAAGAAAAGAAGCGAGGAAUCAGCACCUUAUCUUAUUUAUAUAGUAAGAGAGAAUGCUGGCUCUGAGUUCAGAGUCCAGAGGAACCUUGAAAACUGCAUAGAGCUAGGUGAAAAAGCCAAAAAAGAAGACCGCAAGGUCAAGCUAAUAAGGGCUAACGGUGGAUACCUAGGCAC
rnacentral:tRNA from 1 species